rnacentral:rRNA from 1 species
CGGAUUGGAGUCUGCAACCCGACUCCAUGAAGCUGGAUUCGCUAGUAAUCGCGCAUCAGCCACGGCGCGGUGAAUACGUUCCCGGGCCUUGUACACACCGCCCGUCACACCACGGAAGUUGGGGCGCCCGAAGCCACUUAGCUAACCCUUUUGGGAAGCGAGUGUCGAAGGUGAAAUCAAUAACUGGGGUGAAGUCGUAACAAGGUAAC